rnacentral:lncRNA from 1 species
CUGUAACACAGCUAUAGGAUCAUUCCUUCCAUCAGCCUGAUAUCUUCCCAGGAGAUCUCCAUUUCAAAAUGCCUGACAGCCCCAGGCUUAAGGCAGUUUCUUGGAAGAAUGGUAACUACAAUGGGACAAUCCAGCCGUUUACCAACAAAUGAACAGAACUUACAGAAGUGUACAUGAAUAGCCCUGUAACAUGAGCACCUUCACUGCACUGCCUGGUGAGGGAUGCACUGGGGCCGGCAGGAGUACAGCCUGACGCAGGACACCAGAGUCAGACAGUCAAGAACAGAAAAUUGGAUUUUUACAACCCAUUGGUAUCUCACCACCACCUUCUUCCAGCUGAUAAAGAACAUUUGCAUUCCAAGAGUUCCCUUGUUACUACUCAGACAUGGGUGAAUACUGAAAAGCUACUAUUCAUUCAAGUAUAUUAGAACUGAAGAAUUAUGCAAAAGGAAGUGCCGGAAGUUCAUCAGAAAAUCAUCCCUUAAAAUUGUCUCACUAAAAAGGCACAGCAUUUCAAAUCUUUUGUACUGAUGCCACCUUAAAAUUCAUAUCUGCAAAAGAAAGGGUUUUUUGCAAACAAAUGUUUGCUGCUGAUAUAAACAAACUGCGAAAUGCUAAGACCAAAAAAUCAAAACUCUAUUUCUGGCAUCAUUGAAAAUCUACAUGUUCCUGGUGGGCUACUCACAUCGAACAGUUUACCACAUGUGUUUUUAAAUGCAUUUCAAGGAGUCUG